rnacentral:lncRNA from 1 species
GUUAUGUCCUACAAUCUUCAGAAAAAUCCAGAGAAACUCAUAUGAUUAUCAGUUCCAUAUAAGAGGAGACAACCGUAGUGCCGAAGGUCACACAGGCAGCGCAGGCUGCAGCUGUGACAUCAACCCAGGAGUCUUGCCCCCAUGUCCACUGUCUCAUGCACCGGACCGAGCUUCUGCUCUGACAAUGUGCUUCCUAUUUUAGAGGAAGACUUAGUAAGGUCUUCCUUUCCAGUUCCUAUUCGUCAUUGUCACAAAAGUGCCAUUCGCUCAUUCCAGGGACAUGACAGUCAGUAGAUGACAGCUGAGUACACAGUUCCCUUUGCACCUGAUAAGUUCCAAUCCUAUAUUUCAAGUGGUGUUUACGUUGAGAUCUACAGAGGAGCCUGGCAGAUUAUGGCAAUUAAACAACAACUCUGAGAGUCUCUGCUUCCACCUGAGAUAAUAUUUUGAGAAAUUAUCCAGAAAGUUAAAAAAUCCAUUUAAAUUUACUCUUACUCUCUUGUUUGCAGAUUAUCAUUUUCUGAAACAGUCUUCAAAUACUAGGUCUACUCAAACUUUGGUGUGUAUAGUUCUCUUAGAACUACUUCUGGGACAGAGCUGAAGCUCCAAUACUUCAGCCGCCUGAUGGGAAGAGCCCACUCACUGGAAAAGACCCUGAUGCUGGGAAAGAUUGAGGGCAGGACGAGAAGGGGUCAUCAGAGGGUGAGAUGUUUCGAUUGCAUUGGAUCGACUCAAUGAACAUGAAUUGUAACAAUCUCUGAGAGAUAGAGAAGGACAGGGAAGCCUGGCGUGCUGUAGUCCAUGGGAUCAAAGAGAGUGGACACGCCUUAGUGACCAACAACAAUGGGACCGAGACCCCUCGGUGCACUUUCUCUGGGACAGACACCUUCCUGGAUUCCCCACAUGUGCCAUUACUGCCUUUAGGGAGCUUACAAUCUAUCAGGGCAGUCAAAUGUUACAUAAUUAGAGGGAUUACUUAGCUCACUUCCUAGUGAAAUAUUUAAGGAGAUGAGAUUAUCUGUACUAUCUCACAAAGACUGAAGCAAAGGAUCCUGUGAAAUAUUGUAGUGGUAGAGGAGAAAGAGAAAUAAGCACAGGCAAACAUGAAUGUUUUAGGACAACCAGCACCUUAAAAGGUGACUUGUGGAUUAUAGUUGCAAAAUAACUCAUUUUUAACAAAUGAUAUUAGUGAUAUUGUUCCCUAUAAUGUCUCCAGGGAGCUUAAGGCCUACUCAGGUGAUAUCGUAAAGGUACAAUCACAACUGGAAUUUUUUAAAGAAGGGAGAAAAGGGUA